UUAUACAGAGAAACCGCUGUCGAGUAAUAUGAGAAAAUUUGGUCUUCCCAUACUCCACAGCGUUUCUCUGUAUAACGAAAUGUUUUAGGGUCACUACUCUUUCUUUUCUGGAUCUUAAACCCUUUGCAACGUUUUUGACCUGCUGAAAGGAAGAAUCUAGCAGUACAUGGGAUCAUAUUUGUGGACGAGGUAUAUUUUGACUGAUGGACAUGCUCGUUAGACCUGUCUCUGGAAAGAACCAGAAGAAAGAGAAAAGUUAUCUUCAACAGACAUUUAUAAAGGAAUUGUUGUAUGCAGAACAAGUGUCCCUAAGUGAAUAGUCUUUGGACGUGUUUUGGAAUAUAGUACUGGGGUUGAAUCCGCACUUCACCUUUUAGAGAUUCUAUGGAUUCAUGGGCUUUCAGGACACAGUUUAGUACAAUUUUGCCAUUUGGGCACCCACAAAAAUCGAUGGCAAAUGUUUCCUCAGAACAUCAGAUCAACCUUCUGGUUUAACUGCACUUGAUAAAGGACUUUGGUAUCGAAGGAAAUGCUUAGACUAAAAAUUUCUUGUUGACGAAUAGAGUGAAGAAGGUCAUAGAUUCCCUGGGUGCAUGUUCUUGCACAAAUUGCCAUAAUCCAACACCAGAUGUACAAUAUUACACUAUACAUAAGACUAUCGUCAAUGCACUACAGCAAUGAGUUGCAAUGCUCGAGGUUCCUUAGCUUUGCCAGUAUUGAACCAGUGGCUGUUUCUGUAUUGGUGUACUUGUAGCAACUGCAGUUUUUAACAGACCUGAAAUAUUUGAUUAUUAAUGAUCUGAAGGUCAGUCCUUUCCA